UACGUAGGGAGCAAGCGUUGUUCGGAAUUACUGGGCGUAAAGGGAGAGUAGGCGGAACGGUAAGUUAGAAGUGAAAUGUACGGGCUUAACCCGUAAUCUGCUUUUAAUACUGCCAUUCUUGAGUAUGGGAGAGGAUGAUAGAAUUCCAGGUGUAGCGGUGGAAUGCGUAGAUAUCUGGAAGAAUACCAGUUGCGAAGGCGGUCAUCUGGCCCAAUACUGACGCUGAGGCUCGAAAGCUAGGGGAG
rnacentral:rRNA from 1 species